rnacentral:rRNA from 1 species
GAUGAACGCUGGCGGCGUGCCUAACACAUGCAAGUCGAGCGAUUCUCUUCGGAGAAGAGCGGCGGACGGGUGAGUAACGCGUGGGUAACCUGCCCUGUACACACGGAUAACAUACCGAAAGGUAUGCUAAUACGAGAUAAUAUGCUUUUAUCGCAUGGUAGAAGUAUCAAAGAUUUUGCGGUACAGGAUGGACCCGCGUCUGAUUAGCUAGUUGGUAAGGUAACGGCUUACCAAGGCGACGAUCAGUAGCCGACCUGAGAGGGUGAUCGGCCACAUUGGAACUGAGACACGGUCCAAACUCCUACGGGAGGCAGCAGUGGGGAAUAUUGCACAAUGGGCGAAAGCCUGAUGCAGCAACGCCGCGUGAGCGAUGAAGGCCUUCGGGUCGUAAAGUUCUGUCCUCAAGGAAGAUAAUGACGGUACUUGAGGAGGAAGCCCCGGCUAACUACGUG